UGCCAGUAGUCAUAUGCUUCUUUCAAGGACUAAGCCAUGCAAGUGUAAGAGUAAUGCCUUAAAGCAUAGGUCUGCGAAUGGCUCAUUACAACAGCAACAAUCCUAUUGACUAAGUGUGGCUUCGCCCGGGGCUACUCCAUGUGUAUAUCUGGCUCAACCGGCUAGUUAAUACGUGUACGAAAGCACUAUCCUCACAACCCUGUGUGGUCGCAAGGCCUCCAGGGGAGGGUGGUGGCUUGUGGAUGACCUUAAAAGUACUGGUGCCCGAAAGGGCAGUGCAUAUAUGUUGAGUCAGUCCAAUGGGUAGCAAUAGCAGAGCGGCUCCGGCCAGCUGCAAAGUCAUAGGAACUUCUGCCCUAUCAGCUCUUGAUGGUGAGGUAGUGGCUCACCAUGGCAUUGACGGGUAACAGAGAAUUAGGGUUUGAUUCUGGAGAGGGAGCCUGAGAAAUGGCUACCACUGCUAUGGCAGGCAGCAGGCGCGCAAAUUGCCCAAUACCAAUUCAUUGGUGAGGCAGCGACGAAAAAUAGCAUUUCCGACUUCUCAAGGAGUCAGAGUUUGCCAUGGAUAGUAUGUAAACACAGUAAUGAGUAACAACUGGAGGGCAAGUCUGGUGCCAGCAGCCGCGGUAAUUCCAGCUCCAGUAGCGUAUACUAAUAUUGUUGCUGUUAAAAAGCUCGUAGUUCGAUGCAGAGUUGAGGCUGUAGGACAGCUCCUUAAAUCAAAGUUCAAACAUGAUCGUCAAAUAAUCAGGUUCCGAUACUUUAAAGGAGACUCAACUGUUCUGCAGAAUUUGUCCUCAAACUCUAGGCAGUGGUAUGUCUUGGCCAAGGCUCAUUCAUUUGAGUCCGAGGUGGGAGCACACCAAAGUGAGUGUGUGGUUAGAGGCAAAAGUCCUACUAUGUAGGCUUCCUCCUCCCUCAGAGACAUAACCGCGAAAGUCAUUGUGAACAAAUCAGUGUGAUCAAAGCAGCUGGUCCUUCUGGCUGAAUGCUUCAGCAUGAAAUGACAAGGGAUCGACCAACGGGUAUUACCCAAGAGUUCUGCCAGUGCUUUGUGACCCUGUUUGGGCAAUGUGGGGCGUCCUACGAUACUUGAUCAUACGGGUUUUCGGACUCGAUCCUGUAUCUAGGCGAACCAAACGUUAUCAAUGGGAGCUCUCGAGGUGGUGUGUAUUUCUGCGUUAGAGGUGAAAUUCUUAGACCGUAGAAGGACAUACUGCGGCGAAGGCGCUCUUCCAGUCUAGCUCUGUCUAUCAAGAACGAAAGUGUGGGGAGCAAAGAUGAUCAGAUACCGUUGUAGUCCACUACUGUAAACUAUGUCAGUCAGGUUCCGAUUAUGCUCUGCUAGUAUGUCUUUACCGGAAUCUCAUCCUACCCUAAACGAGAAAUCCAGAACCUAUGGAUUCAGGGGGGAGUACUGUCGCAAGGCUGAAACUUAAAGGAAUUGACGGAGUGACACCACAAGGUGUGGAGUAUGCGGCUUAAUUUGACCCAACACGGGGAACCUUACCAGGUCAGGACGCAGUUAGGAUUGACAGACUGUGAGCUCUUUCUUGAUCCUGUGGAGGGUGGUGCAUGGCCGUUCUUAGUUCGUGGAUUGGUCUGUCUGGUUAAUUCCGUAAACGAACGAGAACUCUACCUUCCAAUAGACCUUCAUCUCGUUGUAAUGGCUUGUCCUGCGAUGUAGUUUACUAUGUUGUCUGGAGCUUGUCCAGAGAGUUUGAGGUGCUUCUGCAAGGGACUGUGUGACGUCAAGCACACUGAGGUUAGAGUCAACAGCAGGUCUGUGAUGCUCCUAAAUGUCCUGGGCUGCACGCGCACUACACUGGCAAGGACACUUAGCUGAACCAGCUCCGGCUGGUCCUUCUCCGUGAGGAGUGGGUAACCUGUUAACCCUCAAUUAGUCAUGUUUGAGCCGUGUCAGGGAUAGAUGUUUGCAAUUAUCCACCUUGAACGAGGAAUACCUAGUAAGCAUAGGUCAUCAGCCUAUAUUGAUUACGUCCCUGCCACUUGUACACACCGCCCGUCGUUGCUACUGAUGGUAUGGUAACAGAGGCUGGAAGAGAGACGCUUUCUCUCGAGUUGGCUGUCUCAAAUCCAUCCAAUGUUGUCAUGCUAGAAGAAGCAAAA
rnacentral:rRNA from 1 species